CUCAGGUGCAAAUAUGUGAAUUGAAUUAUAUUUUGACAAUUUAUUAACAAAACAAUUAACAAUAUUUAAUAAUUGGUAAUUGUAAAUUCGACAAAAUUAGGCAAGGCGACAAUUACUGUGCUUCCAAAAACCAAGGACGAAGAAGUACAAAAGAUACGACGAAGACGCAAAACAUAAGCUGUUUGAGAUUGUCAAACUUCCAAUUGUUCACUACGAGAAAUUUGUGCAAAUCACACGGGAACCUUGGAAUGAAAAAUAAUCCUAAUAAAAGUGUGUGAACAACUUAGUUCUUAGAUUUACUCAACCUAACU